UACGUAGGUGGCGAGCGUUGUCCGGAUUUACUGGGCGUAAAGGGCGUGCAGGCGGUUUGUUAAGUGCAGGGUGAAAGCUCCCGGCUCAACUGGGAGAGGUCCUUGCAUACUGGCGAACUCGAGGGAGGCAGAGGAAAGUGGAAUUCCCGGUGUAGUGGUGAUAUGCGUAGAUAUCGGGAGGAACACCUGUGGCGAAGGCAGCCCCCUGGGUCAAGAUUGACGCUCAUGCACGAAAGCGUGGGGAGCAAACAGG
rnacentral:rRNA from 1 species